rnacentral:rRNA from 1 species
AACGAACGCUGGCGGCAUGCCUAACACAUGCAAGUCGAACGAGACCUUCGGAUCUAGUGGCGCACGGGUGCGUAACGCGUGGGAACCUGCACUUAGGUUCGGAAUAACUCCCCGAAAGGGGUGCUAAUACCGGAUAAUGUCUUCGGACCAAAGAUUUAUCGCCUUUGGAUGGGCCCGCGUUGGAUUAGCUAGUUGGUAGGGUAAAAGCCUACCAAGGCGACGAUCCAUAGCUGGUCUGAGAGGAUGAUCAGCCACACUGGGACUGAGACACGGCCCAGACUCCUACGGGAGGCAGCAGUGGGGAAUAUUGGACAAUGGGCGAAAGCCUGAUCCAGCAAUGCCGCGUGAGUGAUGAAGGCCUUAGGGUUGUAAAGCUCUUUUACCCGGGAUGAUAAUGACAGUACCGGGAGAAUAAGCUCCGGCUAACUCCGUG